rnacentral:rRNA from 1 species
AGAGUUUGAUCCUGGCUCAGGAUGAACGCUGGCGGCGUGCUUAACACAUGCAAGUCGAACGGAAAGGCUCCAGCUUGCUGGGGUGCUCGAGUGGCGAACGGGUGAGUAACACGUAAGUGAUCUGCCCUGCACUGGGGGAUAAGCUUGGGAAACUGGGUCUAAUACCCUAUAGGACCGCAUCGUGGUUGGUGUGGUGGAAAGGUUUUUCUGGUGUGGGAUGAGCUUGCGGCCUAUCAGCUUGUUGGUGGGGUAAUGGCCUACCAAGGCGGCGACGGGUAGCCGGCCUGAGAGGGUGUGCGGCCACAUUGGGACUGAGAUACGGCCCAGACUCCUACGGGAGGCAGCAGUGGGGAAUUUUGCACAAUGGGCGGAAGCCUGAUGCAGCGACGCCGUGUGGGGGAUGAAGGCCUUCGGGUUGUAAACUCCUUUCGUCAGGGACGAAGUUUUUUUGACGGUACCUGGAUAAGAAGCACCGGCUAACUACGUG